GACGAACGCUGGCGGCGUGCUUAACACAUGCGAGUCGAACGGAAAGGCCCUGCUUUUGUGGGGUGCUCGAGUGGCGAACGGGUGAGUAACACGUGAGUAACCUGCCCUUGACUUUGGGAUAACUUCAGGAAACUGGGGCUAAUACCGGAUAGGAGCUCCUGCUGCAUGGUGGGGGUUGGAAAGUUUCGGCGGUUGGGGAUGAACUCGCGGCUUAUCAGCUUGUUGGUGGGGUAGUGGCUUACCAAGGCUUUGACGGGUAGCCGGCCUGAGAGGGUGACCGGCCACAUUGGGACUGAGAUACGGCCCAGACUCCUACGGGAGGCAGCAGUGGGGAAUAUUGCACAAUGGGCGGAAGCCUGAUGCAGCAACGCCGCGUGCGGGAUGACGGCCUUCGGGUUGUAAACCGCUUUCGCCUGUGACGAAGCGUGAGUGACGGUAAUGGGUAAAGAAGCACCGGCUAACUACGUG
rnacentral:rRNA from 1 species